rnacentral:rRNA from 1 species
AACGAACGCUGGCGGCAUGCCUAACACAUGCAAGUCGAACGAGACCUUCGGGUCUAGUGGCGCACGGGUGCGUAACGCGUGGGAACCUGCCCUUAGGUUCGGAAUCCCUCCCGGAAGGGGGUCUUAAUCCGGGUGAGGUUCUUCGCCCAAAGGAUUUCCCGCUUUGGGAUGGGCCCGCGUUGGAUUCGUCAGUUGGUAGGGUAAAAGCCUACCAAGGCGACGUUCCAUAGCUGGUCUGAGAGGAUGACCAGCACCACUGGGACUGAGACACGGCCCAGACUCCGACGGGAGGCAGCAGUGGGGAAUAUUGGAGAAGGGGCGAAAGCCUGAUCCAGCAAUGCCGCGUGAGUGAUGAAGGCCGUAGGGUUGUAAAGCUCUUUUACCCGGGAUGAUAAUGACAGUACCGGGAGAAUAAGCUCCGGCUAACUCCGUG